rnacentral:rRNA from 1 species
GACAGAGGUGCCAAGCGUUAGGCGGAAUCACUGGGCUUAAAGCGUGUGUAGGCGGAAUUGUAAGUACCUUGUGAAAUCCCCGGGCUCAACCCGGGAACUGCGUCCGAUACUGGGAGGCUUGAAUCCGGGAGAGGGUUGUGGAAUUCCGGGUGUAGUGGUGAAAUGCGUAGAGAUCCGGAGGAACACCAGAGGCGAAGGCGGCAACCUGGCUCGUAACUGACGCUCAUACACGACAGCAUGGGGAGCGAACGGG